rnacentral:rRNA from 1 species
UACGUAGGGGGCUAGCGUUGUCCGGAUUUAUUGGGCGUAAAGAGCGUGUAGGCGGCCAGGUAGGUCUGCUGUGAAAACUCGAGGCUCAACCUCGAGAUGUCGGCGGAAACCAUCUGGCUAGAGUCCGGAAGAGGGAGAGUGGAAUUCCGUGGUGUAGCGGUGAAAUGCGCAGAUAUCAGGAAGAACACCCGUGGCGAAGGCGGCUCUCUGGGACGGUACUGACGCUGAGGAGCGAAAGCGUGGGGAGCGAACAGG